rnacentral:rRNA from 1 species
AUUGAACGCUGGCGGCAGGCCGAACUCAUGCAAGUCGAGCGAGCGGCGGACGGGUGUGAAAUUUUUGGGAAACUGCCUGAUGGAGGGGGAUAACUACUGGAAACGGUAGCUAAUAUCGCAUACCAUCAGAUGUGCCCAGAGGGGAUUAGCUAGUAGGUGGGGUAACGGCUCACCUAGGCGACGAUCCCUAGCUGGUCUGAGAGGAUGACCAGCCACACUGGAACUGAGACACGGUCCAGACUCCUACGGGAGGCAACAGAGGGGAAUAUUGCACAAUGGGCGCGAGCCAGAUACAUCCAUGCCGCGUGUGUGAAGAAGGCCCUCGGGUUGUAACGCACUUUCAGCGGGGAGGCGUUACCCGCAGAAGAAGCACCGGCUAACUCCGUGCCAGCAGCCGCGGUAAUAC